GAAUUGCGAUAAGUAAUGUGAAUUGCAGAAUUACGUGAAUCAUCGAAUCUUUGAACGCAUAUUGCACUCUCUGGUAAUCCGGGGAGUAUGCCUGUUUGAGGGUCAG
rnacentral:rRNA from 3 species